rnacentral:rRNA from 1 species
GGCUCAGAUUGAACGCUGGCGGCAGGCCUAACACAUGCAAGUCGAGCGGCAGCACAGGUACUUGUACCGGGUGGCGAGCGGCGGACGGGUGAGUAAUGCCUAGGAAUCUGCCUGGUAGUGGGGGAUAACGCUCGGAAACGGACGCUAAUACCGCAUACGUCCUACGGGAGAAAGCAGGGGACCUUCGGGCCUUGCGCUAUCAGAUGAGCCUAGGUCGGAUUAGCUAGUUGGUGAGGUAAAGGCUCACCAAGGCGACGAUCCGUAACUGGUCUGAGAGGAUGAUCAGUCACACUGGAACUGAGACACGGUCCAGACUCCUACGGGAGGCAGCAGUGGGGAAUAUUGGACAAUGGGCGAAAGCCUGAUCCAGCCAUGCCGCGUGUGUGAAGAAGGUCUUCGGAUUGUAAAGCACUUUAAGUUGGGAGGAAGGGUCGUUACCUAAUACGUGACGAUUUUGACGUUACCGACAGAAUAAGCACCGGCUAACUCUGUGCCAGCAGCCGCGGUAAUACAGAGGGUGCAAGCGUUAAUCGGAAUUACUGGGCGUAAAGCGCGCGUAGGUGGUUCGUUAAGUUGGAUGUGAAAUCCCCGGGCUCAACCUGGGAACUGCAUCCAAAACUGGCGAGCUAGAGUAGGGCAGAGGGUGGUGGAAUUUCCUGUGUAGCGGUGAAAUGCGUAGAUAUAGGAAGGAACACCAGUGGCGAAGGCGACCAC